rnacentral:rRNA from 1 species
CCUACGGGCGGCUGCAGUGAGGAAUAUUGGUCAAUGGGCGGGAGCCUGAACCAGCCAAGUCGCGUGAGGGAAGACGGUCCUAUGGAUUGUAAACCUCUUUUGUCGGGGAGUAAUGCCGGGCACGUGUGCCCGGAGGGAGAGUACCCGCAGAAUACGCCACGGCUAACUACGUGCCAGCAGCCGCGGUAAUACGUAGGUGGCAAGCGUUGUCCGGAUUUACUGGGUUUAAAGGGCGUGUAGCCGGGCUGACAAGUCAGAUGUGAAAUCCGGGGGCUCAACCCCCAAACUGAAUUUGAAACUGUUGGUCUUGAGUACAGGAGAGGCAGGCGGAAUUCCUAGUGUAGCGGUGAAAUGCGUAGAUAUUAGGAGGAACACCAGUGGCGAAGGCGGCCUGCUGGACGACAACUGACGGUGAGGCGCGAAAGCGUGGGGAGCAAACAGGAUUAGAUACCCGAGUAGUC